rnacentral:lncRNA from 1 species
CUAAUUUACUCUACUAUAGGACGAGCACACCCCCAAAAUGGCCGCCAUCCCAGAAGCAUUGAGUCUAAGAGUCUCGCUAGCCACCCCAAUGACUGUAGGCUGGGGAAUGGUCUGGCUAGUGAGACUACAUUGAGCCCGGAUAAAUCUUCAGGAAUUCUUUAUGGCUUAUCUGACGGUCCAGAUGUCCUUUAUAAUUAUUUUUAUGAAAACAGAUCAGUCUUAUCAAAAGUAGUUAAAAACUUCCAUAAAAUAUUUUUACGGCUAAUGAAUGCAUAUGCCUGCAUGCACCAAUUGUUCAAUGAAGUUUCUCCGUCUUCUUCCACAGAACUACAAAGUAAACAGCCUAUCUACUGACAGUCUGACGCCAAUCACUUCAAUCUCAUAGCGAAGGGGCGGGGCGACAAGACUAUUCUCUUCAUUACUUUAAUCUCUUCAACUCUUCAAGUAAGGCAUUGCCACAGUGAAAUAAAAAGGUGGAUAUGAAACGGGAAGGAGUCAUGAGCAAAUGGUCAAUAAAAUGAGAUUGUGCUCCUAUCCAGCAGCAACUUAUGGAUGCAGCUUAAAGCCUGUGACUGUUUCUACAAUUCCUCCCUCCCCCAUGUGCUCCCUUUCUCUCUGUCCCUUUCUGUCUUACACUGGAGCUCCAUCAAUAAACAUACAUGUAGGUCUCCUGUAAUGAAUACAACAUUUCAAACUCCUCUCAUUAAAUUAUAUUUCUGUUAAACAUAGAUCUAAUUUUGUAAUAUUGUUUAUUUUACUUACUUUUCAAUAGUUUAGCAUGCUUCUUUUCAA